AACAAGGUAGUCGUAGGGGAACCUGUGUCUGGAGAGA
rnacentral:rRNA from 1 species